UUGGGAUGUAUAAAUUUUCGUGCGAAUAUCGUAUUGCGCAGUAGCAAUCUGAGUGAAACAGAAAAUGAAUAUAGCAUCGUGUGCACCGUUGCAUUUUGGGAUAGAAUUGACGAUUAAAAUAUCGUGUAUUUGUCGAAUGAAAAAGAAGAAUGCUUCGUAAAAAUGCGUAGAAAAACUGGAGGGGAAUGAAAAUUCAAGACAAUUUCCGAAAGUGUGAAAUAGAGUUCCUUUCUUGAAAUUCGCGAAACAAUGAGAUUUUUUGAUUGAUGACGAAUUUAUAAUACGUUCGAGAAGGCAUUUGAUUUUUGCAAAUAAAAUUUGACAGACAUGGAAUUGAUCAAUGGUCUUCCUUUGACUUAACAACAUUCAAACAACUGCAUAUCUUCAAGAUUGAUUUACAAUCUUGUUUUAAGAUUAAGUGUAGAAAGUCUUGGAUUGAUAUAAGUUCUUUCUCAAGGAAAUAAACGGUAGUAGCUCGUUCGGGAAUGUCAUUGAAGUCCUCAUUCCUUGACAACCUUGUCAUCAUUUACAACGUUCCAAUCAUCCUCGCAGUCUUAAGAGAUGGUGUCAGCAUUGCCCAUUGCGACACGACUAUUGGAGACAAGAACUUUUCGUUUGUAGCCAAACUUGGGGCUGCUUCAUCCAAGUAGGACACUGGCGCACUGCUA